GAAACCAAGUACUGUAUAGCAUUAUUAAGCAAUUUUGUUUUGUUUCGUUCGAUUUAAGUCUUUAAAGAAGAAACAAUGAACGCAAAAUACAUAAUAUUUAUAUGUUUUGCAAUGAAUUACUUAGUAAUUCUAAGUGUUGCCAACGACGAUAAGGAGAAAGAGCUUAUAAAAUCCGUUUUCAAUGGAUUAUUAGAUGGAUUAGAUUUUAUUACUGCUACUAAAAUUCAUGUGAAUGAAAUGAACAUGAUUUGGCACGACAACGGUGAAACUAUGAGAGCUAAUUUCUCACCCGAUGAACUGGCACGAAUGAAUCAAGACGGCAUAGAUUUAGAACAAUUUGAGAAAAUCACCAAGAAAAUUUGCAAAGACAAGGACCAAGA